ensembl:lncRNA novel transcript
AUACAGAAGCAUUUAAUGCAAGAGAUAAGUUAACAGACCAGCUAAGAAAAUGAAAUUAUGAUUUAAAUAUGCUGGUCAUUUCCCUGUCGUUUUACAGCUUCAAAUUCAUCCUUUAAUUACAUUUGCCAUCACUCUGUGAUGCUAUGGCUGACACUAUACAAACCAUAGGGUUUUUGUUUGUUUGUUUCGUUUUAACUAGCGGUAACCUCAUUAGAUUUAGGCAAUAGAAGGCAGAGAGGAGACUGAAAAGAAGGCAAAGGCAAGAAGGGAUGUUCUCUUGUUUUGUGCUCUGAUUCCGGCGAGGUUCCCUAUGAGAAGCAACAUUUCAGCCCAGCAGCAGCCAUUUGCUAAAGCAUUGUCAUUUGAUUUCAGCCUCUAGCAUCUUCCAGAACCAACUUCCCUUUGUGGCUAGAGUGAAGUAUACUGGUAUAAAGUGCUCUAAAAAUACAGAAACUGAGAGAAGAAGAAAUAUGAAAAAGAAAUGGAGAAAUGUGAGAGAGAAAACCAUUUACUGUGCGACAUUAGACUUCCUCGUGAUGAAGGAGGAGGAGAACAUUGGAUCUGAUAGGUGAUUCAAGUCUAAAAAUUGACUGAACUAAA